rnacentral:rRNA from 1 species
GUGGGGAAUCUUCCGCAAUGGGCGAAAGCCUGACGGAGCAACGCCGCGUGAGUGAAGACGGCCUUCGGGUUGUAAAGCUCUGUUAUAUGGGACGAACGGGUGUAUGGUCAAUACCCAUACGCCGUGACGGUACCGUAAGAGAAAGCCACGGCUAACUACGUGCCAGCAGCCGCGGUAAUACGUAGGUGGCAAGCGUUGUCCGGAAUCAUUGGGCGUAAAGGGCGCGCAGGCGGGUCGGUAAGUCGGUCUUAAAAGUGCGGGGCUUAACCCCGUGAUGGGAUUGAAACUGCCGGACUGGAGUGUCGGAGAGGAAAGCAGAAUUCCUAGUGUAGCGGUGAAAUGCGUAGAUAUUAGGAGGAAUACCAGUGGCGAAAGCGGCUUUCUGGACGACAACUGACGCUGAGGCGCGAAAGCCAGGGGAGCAAACGGGAUUAGAAACCCUGGUAGUCC